AGUACGUGGACGUAGACCCGAAACCGGGUGAUCUACCCCUGUCCAGGGUGAAGGUGCGGUAACACGCACUGGAGGCCCGAACCCACGCAUGUUGAAAAAUGCGGGGAUGAGGUGGGGGUAGCGGAGAAAUUCCAAUCGAACCCGGAGAUAGCUGGUUCUCCCCGAAAUAGCUUUAGGGCUAGCCUCGGAAAGAAGAAUCGUGGAGGUAGAGCACUGAUUGGGUGCGGGGCCCGCAAGGGUUACCAAGCUCAGUCAAACUCCGAAUGCCAUAGAUUUAGUUCCGGGAGUCAGACAGUGAGUGCUAAGAUCCAUUGUCGAAAGGGAAACAGCCCAGACCAUCAGCUAAGGUCCCCAAGUGUGUGUUAAGUGGGAAAGGAUGUGGAGUUGCACAGACAACCAGGAUGUUGGCUUAGAAGCAGCCACCAUUGAAAGAGUGCGUAAUAGCUCACUGGUCGAGUGACUCUGCGCCGAAAAUGUAACGGGGCUAAACACACCACCGAAGCUAUGGCUUGAUGCUUGCAUCAGGGGUAGGGGAGCGUUGAAUGCGGGUUGAAGGUGUACCGUAAGGAGCGCUGGACUGCAUUCAAGUGAGAAUGCCGGUAUGAGUAACGAAAAGAUCUGUGAGAAUCAGAUCCGCCGAAAGCCUAAGGGUUCCUGAGGAAGGUUCGUCCGCUCAGGGUAAGUCGGGACCUAAGGCGAGGCCGAUAGGCGUAGUCGAAGGACAACAGGUCGAAAUUCCUGUACCACCGUAAUCCGUUAUGAGCGAUGGGGUGACGCAGUAGGGUAGUGACGCGGACUGAUGGAUGUCCGUCUAAGCAGUGAGGCUG
rnacentral:rRNA from 1 species